rnacentral:misc_RNA from 1 species
GAUGAAGAACGUAGCGAAAUGCGAUAAGUAAUGUGAAUUGCAGAAUUCAGUGAAUCAUCGAAUCUUUGAACGCACAUUGCGCCCCCUGGUAUUCCGGGGGGCAUGCCUGUUCGAGCGUCAUUACAACCCUCAAGCUCUGCUUGGUAUUGGGCCCCGCCAGUUCUGGCGGGCCCUAAAGUCAGUGGCGGUGCCUUCCGGCUCCGAGCGUAGUAAUUCUUCUCGCUCUGGAGACCCGGUUGUGUGCUUGCCAACAACCCCCAAUUUUUUAAGGUUGACCUCGGAUCAGGUAGGGAUACCGCUGAACUUAAGCAUAUCAAUAAGCGGAGGA